rnacentral:rRNA from 1 species
UACGGGCCAGACUCCUACGGGAGGCAGCAGUGAGGAAUAUUGCGCAAUGGGCGAAAGCCUGACGCAGCAACGCCGCGUGAGGGACGAAGGCCUUCGGGUCGUAAACCUCUUUUCUGGGGAAAGAGCAAGGACGGUACCUCAGGAAUAAGUCUCGGCUAACUACGUGCCAGCAGCCGCGGUAAAACGUAGGAGGCGAGCGUUAUCCGGAUUUACUGGGCGUAAAGCGCACGCAGGCGGCUUCGUUAGUCGGGUGUGAAAGCUCCUAGCUUAACUGGGAGAGGCCACUCGAUACUGCGAGGCUUGAGGUUGGGAGAGGGGUGUGGAAUUCCCGGUGUAGUGGUGGAAUGCGUAGAUAUCGGGAGGAACACCUGUGGCGAAAGCGGCACCCUGGCCCACACCUGACGCUGAGGUGCGAAAGCGUGGGGAGUAAACAGGAUUAGAUACCCUGGUAAUCCACGCUGUAAACGAUGUCAACUGGGUGUCGGUAGCUUUACGCUAUCGGUGCCGAAGCAAACGCGUUAAGUUGACCGCCUGGGGACUACGGCCGCAAGGCUAAAACUCAAAGGAAUUGACGG